UUAAAGGAGAAGUUUGGUGUGAAAUUGACCUUAGCUGUACUGAAAGAUGUUGCCGAGUACUUACAUGUGUCCAAUAGGCACCUUCGCUCAGAACCAAGCACUCCAAUCCAC